UUCUACAUGCAUACCACCCUGGAUGUGCCCAAUCAUUCCUAAACUAAGCAGGGUUAGGCCUGGUUAGUACUUGGAUGGGAGACCACCUGAGAAUACCAGGUGCUGUAGGCU
ensembl:rRNA 5S_rRNA 5S ribosomal RNA